ACUACGAAUACGCUCUCAAAAGUGACGGUUUGAAACCAAAACAUCCAACAUGGCUGAUUCACAAAUAAACGACUUUAAGAUGUUCCAGUACACGUUUAAAGACGAAGAUCCGUUAGAGGAGCAGUACUGGUAUCAUGGCGAGUUAACAACGAGUGACGCAAAGCGGAUUCUUGUCAACGACGGAGACUUUUUGGUACACCAUGAAAAUGGAUAUCUACUGUCUGCCGUGUCCAAGGAACUUAGAUAUCAUCACUUUAGAUUUCAGAAAAAAAAUGUAAGUGAAAACAGGGAAAACUAGGAAUACAAUGGCACAAAAUACACUGUAACGGUAAAAUUGUUUCACCUUCGUCUUGAUGCAGACAUUAUUUAGUCUCUAUUGGUGUAGUUUUUUUCCCUGUGCAUCGUUUUGUUAAUUAUUGUUUUGUCAAAGUUAUUGAUUAAAAUAUUAUUAUCAUCAUUAAUAACAUAUGAGACUUUAUAGAUACAGAUAUUUUACUAAUCUUAAAUUCAUAAUUCCUAAAAGUAUUUAGUUCAAUCCUUAUAUCAUUCAUCGAAAUUUAUUAAAAAAGCAUGAUAUACACUUUAAUUUCUUAGAUAAUGUUUCCAUUGAAUGAUUUUUAAAAAAACCCAGAAAACAACAGAAAAAUUGCCAUGGUUUAAUUUCAUGUGCUUUAAAAUUUUUUUGUUUGAGAUGAAAUUUGUUUUUAUUUAAAUUCCUUUAAAAUACUAUUUACUGGUGCUUAGACACACUCAUGAAUUAGGUUUGGUAUUUUUUUUAUUAAGGGAGGGGGAUAUGCAUAUUCGGGAAAACCUAUGUUAACACAUAGAACGAUGCUUGACAAUUGUUUUGAAAAUCACAUAUUGAAAAUUGUGAUUCAGCUAUGACUAAAGGCGGUCGAAAAAUGAGAAACAAUCUGACUGUCGCCCAAAUAUUAAGAACUUUAAAAUAUAUAAAAGAAUAUGCUUGGGGAGAUAAAAAGAAUUGCUCAUACUGGUAAAGUUGUUUAUUUACUUUCUUAUGGUGUGUUUUUAAAAAGUUACCAUUCAACGACUACAUGAGUAAGUUUUAAGCGUAAAGUAGCUGAUAAAACUUCAAAACCUGCAUGGAGUUUACAAUUUUGUCGCAGCAGCAACUGUUUUUCUUUUUAAAUUAAUGAUGUCAUGUUUGUAUAAAAAAA
rnacentral:sRNA from 1 species